rnacentral:rRNA from 1 species
GAUGAACGCUGGCGGCGUGCCUAAUACAUGCAAGUCGAGCGAACAGACGAGGAGCUUGCUCCCCUGACGUUAGCGGCGGACGGGUGAGUAACACGUGGAUAACCUACCUAUAAGACUGGGAUAACUUCGGGAAACCGGAGCUAAUACCGGAUAAUAUAUUGAACCGCAUGGUUCAAUAGUGAAAGACGGUUUUGCUGUCACUUAUAGAUGGAUCCGCGCCGCAUUAGCUAGUUGGUAAGGUAACGGCUUACCAAGGCUACGAUGCGUACCCGACCUGAGCGGGUGGUCGGCCACACGGGAACUGAGACACGGUCCAGACUCCUACAGGAGGCAGCAGUAGGGAAUCUUCCGCAAUGGGCGAAAGCGUGACGGAGCAACGCCGCGUGAGUGAUGAAGGUCUUCGGAUCGUAAAACUCUGUUAUUAGGGAAGAAGAAAUGUGUAAGUAACUAUGCACGUCUUGACGGUACCGAAUCAGAAAGCCACGGCUAACUACGUG